GCCGGGGUGGCGGAACAGUUGACGCGGCGGAUUUAAACUCCGCUGGGCGGAAACGCCCUUGGGGGUGCGAAUCCCUCCCCCGGCACCA
rnacentral:tRNA from 1 species